UCUCCCACUCAGUGUAAACAUAAACCGUAUUAAGAAAAAAGAGUUACGAUACUCUCUUUUUCUUCUUCUCCUCCGCCACAGAACAACGAAAUUGACAAGAGGAGGAUGUCCGGAAGUUGUGAACGGCUCAGUUGGGUCGGAUCGAGGAAGAAACCCGACAACUCUCCACCAUCCGCGAGAGGCGAACCCACGGCGGAGCUUCUCUUCGUCGGUAGCGGAGAGGGAGAAGACAGAGGAAGAGGACGACGCGGUGAAGAUAUAUGAGCAACGGUGGUUUGUUCGUGCAAGACGCUUGCGAAUCAUCUCACCAACUGUGGUUUUCAGUCUACUCCUCGAGAUGAGAGGAUGCAGCAGUCUCUAUUUGUUCUCAAUAAUCAUCAGAGUAGGGAUUCGAGCAGCUGAUUCAGGGGAUGAUUAAACCGUAUAAAGUUGCGGCCUUUACUAUUAUUUUUUUGUAUUGUUGUUGCAUUUGUUUCGGGGGUUGAUGUAAUAGUAUAAAGUUGGGUUCCUUAUGAUUUAUGGUAUUGGUGUAUUUGUUUCAGGAGAUCGUGUAAUCAAGGCGUUUAUGAUUCAACGUGGGGAUAAUUCGGCGAAUGAUGGGACUGGUGGUGGUGAAUCUAUCUAUGGCUGGGACAAGAGAGAGCUUUCCUGAUUCUUGAUGAUACAGAGAAUGCAGCUACGCUAAGAUAUCUCAGACUUAGACUGAUGCUUUCAGUAACACACAACGAUAAGUAUUAAGGAAGAUGCACAUGAUGAUAAGAAGCAAAGGGAGCUGAUUCAUCUUUGGAACCUGAUGGACACUCCUGAUGAAGAAAGGGAGCUGUUUUGAUCACUUUACUUGUAAUCAUAUCAAAUAUAUAUAUGUUAACUUCGGUCAAUUUAAUUUUAUUACCAAACUACAGUUGUUGUUGUUGUGUUGCUGUAUUUGUAAAACUACAAUGCAAAAUGCCAUAACUUUUAUGAAAAUGACUAUUGUAUCUAUAA